ACGCGCGGGAACGUACCCAGAUCUAAGGAAUAGCCUCGGGAAACUGAGAGUAAUACCUUAUACGCCCUUCGGGGGAAAGAUUUAUCGGAUUUGGAUCGGCCCGCGUUAGAUUAGAUAGUUGGUGGGGUAAUGGCCUACCAAGUCUACCGAUCUAUAGCUGGGUUUAGAGGAUGAUCAGCAACACCUGGGACUGAGUACACAUGGCCAGACUCCUACGGGAGGCAGCCAGUGGGGAAUCUUAGACAAUGGGCGCAAGCCCUGAUCUAGCCAUGCCGUGUGUGUGAUGAAGGCCUUAGGGCCGAAAUGCACUUUCGCCAGAGAUGAUAAUGACAGUAUCUGGUGAAGAAACCCUUGCUAACUCCGUGCCAGCAGCCAGCGGUAAUACAGAAGGGGGUAGCGUUGUUCGGAAUUACUGGGCGUAAAGCGUACGUAGUCGGAUUAGUCAUGUCAGAGGUGAGAUCCCAGGGCUCAUCCCGUGGGACUGCCCUUAGAUACUGCUAGUCUCGAGCCCGAGAGAGG
rnacentral:rRNA from 1 species